UACGUAGGGUGCGAGCGUUGUCCGGAAUUAUUGGGCGUAAAGGGCUCGUAGGCGGUUUGUCGCGUCGGGAGUGAAAACCUCGGGCUUAACUCGGGGCUUGCUUUCGAUACGGGCAGACUAGAGGUAUGCAGGGGAGAACGGAAUUCCUGGUGUAGCGGUGAAAUGCGCAGAUAUCAGGAGGAACACCAGUGGCGAAGGCGGUUCUCUGGGCAUUACCUGACGCUGAGGAGCGAAAGUGUGGGGAGCGAACAGG
rnacentral:rRNA from 1 species